rnacentral:SRP_RNA from 1 species
GCCGGCAUGGUGGUGUGUGUCUGUGGUCCCAGCUACCCAGGAGGCUGAGGCGGGAGGAUGGCUUGAGCCCGGGAGUUCUGGGCUGCAGUGAGCUCUGCCCAUGGGGUGUCCCUACUAUCCUGAGAGCCGGGGACCCCCAUAGUUGCCUAAGGAGGGGUGGACGGCCCAGGUUGGAAACAGAGCACGUGAAAACUCCUGUGUUGAUCAGUAGUGAGAUCACACCUGUGAAUAAUUAUUGUACUCCAGCCUGGGCACCAUAGCAAGACCUCAUCUCU